GGCGCUAUCGUAUAGUGGUUAGUACACAGGAUUCUGAUUCCUGUAACCCAGGUUCGAGCCCUGGUAGCGCCU
rnacentral:tRNA from 1 species